rnacentral:lncRNA from 1 species
AUAAAUGUCUGUGUAUUACGUUGGUAUCGUAAUUUUUUGAACUGAAUCUCAUAAAUCAGAUGUAGAAUUAUGGGCUCUGAGGAUUUCGUAUUGGACGCUAGCAUGUUGAAGCGCCCCUGGUAAACCAGGAACUCAAAUGUGAUACAAUACUAGUCCCAGGAGGCUAGUAACACAUUUAUUACAUCAGAUAAGUUUCAGCGCAGUAGUCUCGGUAAGCGCGGACAAGGAAGGCACGCUAUAAUAAUAAGACACCAAAAUACAACAUAGGUCCAAAGGACCCAGAAACAAACGAUAUCACAAUCGAACAUCUGACGAGUCCCAAUGCCACAGGCUUAGUUGGGUGCAGACACGACCUUACUCGAACGCCACUUCGGGAUCGAAGUCCGGAUCUUCCUCUGUUUAAUAAAGCAAGGGUGAGUACAAAGUACUCAGCAAAUCCAACCUUACCCUAUGGAAGGGAUAACAAUAUAUAUAUAUAUAUAUAUGCAUAUGGAUAAAUCAAGGAUGAAGCUUAGUUUUAUUUGCAUAAAGUUAUCAUUUUACACAUGCAAGGUUUCAUUUCACAAAUACUGUUGUAAAAGAACUCUUUUUCCACAUAUAAUAGUAUUUCUGAAAAUGGAGGUUUGAUCACAAUUUUAAGUGUUGUUGAACCCUUGUUCCCAUAACACAAUGGCAGUCAACCAUUUAUUUCCAAAAUCACACUCACUCUCAUGUUUUCACUCAUCCCAACUCAUCUAGUUGUUGAAACCAAACCAUACCCCGUCCGAGACCGCGGACACGGCUAUCCAGAUAGAUUUACACUCUGCAGAGGUAGUACACUUUUUUCACAAGUAGGAUACCAUAACUUACACCGUCGUGCAAGCACAGAUCCAUCAAAGUCAUUACCCUCCAUAGCUAAGUAAUGGCGCUCACCACGAGAACACUAAGGCCACCCCUCAUGGUGCCAUAAUAAUUCACAAAGCUCUUUUCAUAUAUUUUCACAAUUUCACAUACAUCACUUAGUGUCCCGUUGCACACCUGCCUCCAGGUGAUUGCCAUACUAACUAGAGGGAUUUAGACUAAGCCUUUCCCAUGCAAGGCGAGUGGUUGUACGAUAAAUGAGUUAGGCAAGAUGAAUCAUCAACUCAGUCCUUAAUCAAGACAAGGCGGAUAUCUUCACGCUUAACCCCGCAAGGUAUAAGCCACAACACCAGGACAUCCCCAAAAGAGAUCUCAUCCGCCCCAUCUCCAUAGUAAUCACAUCUAUAACUUGUUCAUUAACCCUUUCACAAUACCCACAAUUUAUUUUCACCACUCACACCUUUUACUUUUAAAAUCAUUAUAUUUGAGAAAAUAUAGCGAUGAGUAUCCAGGAUGAGUAACAAGUUCUAAGCAUACUAAAUAAUAAUAUUUCUGUUAUAAUAUAUUAUUUGUUACUAGGUUCGAACAAGACAAUUACCGGGUAAUAUCAAUUCAAGGAUGGUUAUUCAACAGGUUUUAUCUAAGCAGCGAAAAUACUUCGUACAUAUAUCGUACAUGCAAUAUUUAAAACGGCUUCUACGGGUUGUGUUUAAAAAUAGGAUCAACAUGUAUCAAAGGAGAUCGGUUGGACUUGCCUCCGUCGACGUCCUCGGCAAACUCCUGCUGACAGUCCGGGUCCUCGGCGUCAAACUCGCGGUACUCGUCUCCAACGUCCGCGUUUUCCGGCUCGUUCACUCCGUCAGCUAAAAUACGCGACGAGCGACACAGACAAUAAGCACAGAUAAAUAAUCAUAUAAAUUCAAAUAAGCUCUAAAAAUCAUGAAAUUAAUAUGAGAGGUAGAUCAUGAUUUUAGAUGAGUUUAGGAAAAAGAAUCGUUAGAAUUAGAGUUCGGAUGGAGGAGAUAUUAAUUUUACAAGAUUGCUGUCUACUAAAAUAAACAAGGUGUUUUGGAGGAAGAGCAUGUGCACGAUAGCUGGUAGGGUGCUCAGUGCUUGCUGAUUUAAUGCGGGCUUCAGCUCUUGGCUAUGGACCCACUGAAAUUUGAUAGAGGGAGAGGGGUACGGGACACAGAGUAAGGGAACAGCAGAGUGUCGUCGUGCUCCUCGGGUAUGCCUCCCAUGGACGAAGCUUCGCCCGAGAAUAAUUCCGGCAGCCAUUUCUGAGUCUAAGGGUAUGGGGAGAGAGAGUAGAGUGAGGGGAAGCUCAUAGAUGUGCUACCUUGAUCGAUUACAGCUUGGAGAAGGAGAUCGAAUGGACAGCCGUCCUCUGCGUAAGAACAGAGAAGGUUUGGUGCUAGAUAAAAAAAAGAUGAGCGACAACACGGUGAGUUUAGCGUGGGAGAGAAGAGCAGCUCUGCAUCGGGCUUUAUAGGCAGCACAAGAGGA